GUAGAGGUUAACACAGUAAAGGAGUUUAAGCAUGCGUGGGAUAGGCAUAAGGCUAUCCCAACUAUAAGAUAAGGCCAGGGACUAAUGAAAGUAUUUAGAAAAUUGGGCAGACUAGAUGGGCCGAAUGGUUCUUAUCUGCCGUCACAUUCUAUGUUUCUAUAACCCAAAUUGUUUAAAAUCCAGGCCAGAGUCUGUAUUCUGACCUGGAGUUUCAC
rnacentral:lncRNA from 1 species